rnacentral:tRNA from 1 species
AAAUUUAGGAUAACACUAAACCAGGGACCUUCAAAGCCCCAAACAAGAGCCAAACCCUCUUAAUUUCU